UACGUAGGGUGCAAGCGUUGUCCGGAAUUAUUGGGCGUAAAGAGCUCGUAGGCGGUCUGUCGCGUCGGCUGUGAAAACUCGGGGGCUCAACCCCGAGCCUGCAGUCGAUACGGGCAGACUAGAGUGCUGUAGGGGGAGACUGGAAUUCCUGGUGUAGCGGUGAAAUGCGCAGAUAUCAGGAGGAACACCGGUGGCGAAGGCGGUCUCCUGGGGCAUUCUUGACGCUGAGGAGCGAAAGCGUGGGGGAGCGAACAGGA
rnacentral:rRNA from 1 species